AUUUAUAUAGUUUAAAACAAAACAUUACAUUUUCAUUGUAAAAUUAAAAUAUUAAUUUUUAUAAAUU
rnacentral:tRNA from 1 species